GUAUCUAAUAUAUAUAGAGAGAGAGAGGGUUCGACUAUGGUGCUUUUGGAAGUAUAAAGAAAUUGGUGCUUCUAAUUUUUAACUCUUUAAUUAUUUUUAACUUUUGAAUUAAUAUUAUUUUCCUAGGGUACCACUGUACUACUCUAUCCUAGGGAAACCACCUCUUAAUUCCAACCGUACAGUUCUUGAUCCAAACGUUAAAAGAUAAAAAACAUUAUCUUCUUUAUACUUUCGAAAGUAUAGUACGUAGCUAAAUGAGUAAUGCUUCUAUACUCUUUUUUUUUCUUUCCCGUUCAUUCCAGCGUAUUCAACGGCUUAGAUUUAAUUUUUUUAAAAUAAUUUUUUUACCUGUUAAAUAUUAAAAUUAUAUUAUAUAUAUAUAUUGUG
rnacentral:lncRNA from 1 species